GAUGAACGCUAGCGGCAGGCUUAACACAUGCAAGUCGAGGGGUAGAGUAGCAAUACUUGAGACCGGCGCACGGGUGCGUAACGCGUAUGCAAUCUACCUUUACAGAGGGAUAGCCCAGAGAAAUUUGGAUUAAUACCUCAUAGUAUUAUGGAAUGGCAUCAUUUUAUAAUUAAAGUCACAACGGUAAAGAUGAGCAUGCGUCCCAUUAGCUAGUUGGUAAGGUAACGGCUUACCAAGGCUACGAUGGGUAGGGUCCUGAGAGGGAGAUCCCCCACACUGGUACUGAGACACGGACCAGACUCCUACGGGAGGCAGCAGUGAGGAAUAUUGGACAAUGGGCGCAAGCCUGAUCCAGCCAUGCCGCGUGCAGGAUGACGGUCCUAUG
rnacentral:rRNA from 1 species